AUUGAACGCUGGCGGCAGGCCUAACACAUGCAAGUCGAACGAGUGGCGGACGGGUGAGUAAUGUCUGGGAAACUGCCUGAUGGAGGGGGAUAAAUACUGGAAACGGUAGCUAAUACCGCAUACCAUCAGAUGUGCCCAGAUGGGAUUAGCUAGUUGGUGGGGUAACGGCUCACCAAGGAGACGAUCCCUAGCUGGUCUGAGAGGAUGACCAGCCACACUGGAACGGAGACACGGUCCAGACUCCUACGGUGGGCAGCAGUGGGGAAUAUUGCGCAAUGGGCGCAAGCCGAAUACAGCCAUGCCGCGUGUAUGAAGAAGGCCUUCGGGUUGUAAAGUACUUUCAGCGGUGAGGCGUUACCCGCAGAAGAAGCACCGGCUAACUCCGUGCCAGCAGCCGCGGUAAUUC
rnacentral:rRNA from 1 species